rnacentral:lncRNA from 1 species
UGAUUCGUGUAUGGGUGAAGAAAUGAGUUCAAAAAAUGGAAGAAAAACCGAGACUACUGAUAUCAGCGUUGAAAGAAAACCCAUGACUACUGAUGUCAGCGAUGAAAGAAUGAUACAAGACAAAGUUUCAAUAUCCGACGAAGUGAACUGUUCUUGUUUUAAGUCACCUCACUCAGCUAAGUACAUUCUAAAUGCAAAAUGCAUGCUUACGGUAUUUGUAUUGCUAACAGCCAGCAAAGACAUGUUAAACGCGUACAAUAUUUUUUUUGUUUUUUACUUAAUUUCUUUAAAGUUAUAUAAUAUUAUGUAAUUUUUUAUUGAGACUUAAAGAAAUUAUGUGGGUAUACAGAAAAAUCACCACUUUAUCUAGUAAAAAGUUUUUAAUUACAGAAACAGUUAGAUUUCUAUAUUUAUAGUCUGGUUAUACAG